GACACCUGAGCUCAGUACACUAGGGAGUGAGGGAGGGUAAAUAGGUUACAGGAAAGCCGAUGUGGCAUGGCCUGUAAUCUCACAGUGAUUGCUGUGAGCUGAGUUUGGGGCUAGCCUGGGCUAAACAGUGUCAAGCCAGGGUGCCACAGAAAGACUCUGUCCUGACCCCUUUGCCCAGAUAGCAAAAUGGUAAAAAAGAUAAGCUUGUGAUUCUAGCUACUGAGGAGGCAGAGGUAGAUGGGUCCUGAGUUCAAGGCCUGCCUGGGUUACAUGCUAAAUUGGAGGAAAGCAAGGGAAACUUAGUAAGACCACGUCUCAAAAUAAAAAAAAAAAAGUAAAGGGGGUUUGGAAAUACAAUUCAGCUGUAGAGUGCUUGCCUGGCAUGUACAAAUUCUCUGGUUCCACAAUAAAGUCGUUCUGAUGACCAUAGUACAGUGCACGUGCACUCUCCUCUCUCUCACACACACCCAUGAGCACGCAUUAACUCGUACUGUACUGAAUGUUAAGACCUUUUUCCUUGCCAUUAUUUCUUAAAAGACUAUAACAACUAUUCUCAUUGUGCUAGAUAUUAUAAAUAAAUAACCUAGAGGUGCUGAACUGUACAGGAAGUUGUACACUACUCUACACAAACACUAUGGCAUUCAUAUAAGGGACUUGUGCAUAUGUGGUCUUGCCCUCUGUGUGGGAUACUAGGAAUGAGUGUACUGUCCUGGAAAUGCCCUGACUUUUGACAUAAUCCCUUACUCUUCAGCUCACAUCCCAAAGACUCCACGAUGAGACUGAGUUUCUGGUUUGUUUGGUUUUUGAGGGAGGGUUUCUCUGUGUAGUUCUGGGGUCCUAGAACUCACUCUGAAUGUCCCUGGUUUUGUUUUUACCUCUCCUACUCCCCUGCCCAAACCCAGUGUGACUCCAUCAUCAUCCUAUAGACUAACUGCCCCUUGGCACCUUGUGUGUCUGGUGACCCUGGCAUGCUUAGCUUACCUGGGUGGCCUCCUCUAACUGAACCAACUAACCACGCUGAGGGCUGAGCUCGUGUGAGGGAUACUCUGUUGAGCAUUAAAGGUGAGGAAUCCAAGUCCCUCUCUGGUAUCUUUAACAGAAAGUUACCCCUCUCCCCUCAGCACCACACAGAGCAUCUACCACCUAGAAAUCAUGGUGUCACCCCUUCCAGCUGACAGCAUUAUCUGUCUGCCCGUCUGCUGCAGUAUGCCUGCCUCUUACACACGGCAAUCAGCAAAAUCCAUGAGCGUCAAGACUGGAAGUAGUUAGAGUCAGCCACUGCCUUGGAUCUUCUGGUUGUCAUGGACACGAAAUUUUCUAUUGUUAGUAACUCUGGUCUCUAUGGUGAGCUAACACUUGGAGAACCUAAGAAAGGCAAGACAGACAAUUGGAUAUUGAAUGGAGUGGGGUAGAGCAGAUUUGGGAGGGACAGACAGACGGAGAAAAGACGAAAGUAACACAUUCCAAUCUCCCCUCCCCCAAUAAACAAUAUAUUUCAGAUUAGGCUGAAACUUGCUCUAGAUCAUCCCACCUGUUCCUGCAGAGGCUGUAAAAUCAUUCCCUCCCUCAUCUAAUUCGCUGAUCACUGCCCCACAGUCCAUCCGGUCUUUACAAAUGACCAGAACUCAAGCUUCCAUGUGGCACAUGAACUGAGGAGGAGCCCACAUGAGGAGGAACAGGAUGUCCUCUGACCAACAGCUGGAUGAGAAUCCUUCUGAGUCAGCCAACACUGACAGGUGCCCUAAUGAGACACCGCCUGUGAACCCUGUGGAGCAGGCUGGGAGUGCCACACCCUGCUCCCACCUUCUUCCUUGACUUCUUCUUUGGGACUCAGUAAAGCUGCCUGCCUGCCUGUGAGCUCUUGCUAUGGAACUCCUAUCCUUAAGAGGUAUGAAAAGUCUACUUCCUGUGCCAUGUGGCCUCUCACUCUCAGAGACUCCAUUCUCCGUGACGUCUGUCUCUGGUGCUGGAACUGGAAUCCUUGGAGUCUGGGGCAUGCUGUUGCAAAAUAAACCAAUGAACCAUUGACCAAGGCCAGGGAGGUUAAAGAGAGUUCCAGAAAAAAAAAUCACCAAAAUCCACUCGAGGAAAUAACACCAUGUGGCUUGGGCACAAUGGGUCUAUGUGGGUAUCAUGUGUAUUCAUGGUAUAAAUAACUCUUCUAAUAAACUU